rfam:Oryza glumipatula chromosome 2, whole genome shotgun sequence.
UUUAAUUGCAGUUGUGGGUUGUAGUGUCCAACAUUUUAUCGUCUUAUUUGAUUUUUUUAUUAUUAUUAUUUUUAUUGUUAUUAGAUGAUAAAACAUGAAUAAUAUUUUAUAUGUGACUUAUUUUUUUCAUUUUUUUAUAAAAUUUUCAAAUAAGAUGAACGGUCAAACGUUGGACAUAGAAAUCUACAACUGCACUUAAA